UACUAAUAGUACGAGUACUACUAGUACUAGUAUUAAUAGUAUUAGUACUACUAGUAGUAUUACUAAUAGUUCUAAUGCUACUACUAGUAC
rnacentral:tRNA from 1 species